AGAGUUUGAUCAUGGCUCAGGAUGAACGCUAGCUACAGGCUUAACACAUGCAAGUCGAGGGGAAACGACAUCGAAAGCUUGCUUUUGAUGGGCGUCGACCGGCGCACGGGUGAGUAACGCGUAUCCAACCUGCCCACCACUUGGGGAUAACCUUGCGAAAGUAAGACUAAUACCCAAUGACGUCUCUAGAAGACAUCUGAAGGAGAUUAAAGAUUUAUCGGUGAUGGAUGGGGAUGCGUCUGAUUAGCUUGUUGGGCGGGGUAACGGCCACCAAGGCGACGAUCGAGGUAGGGGUUCUGAGAGGAACGGUCCCCCANAUUGGAACUGAGACACGGUCCAAACUCCGUACGGGAGGCA
rnacentral:rRNA from 1 species